CACCACUCUUAAGGUACUUAUUUAGCACUGCAAAAAUUUGGGAGUUCAAUACUUGAAACCGUCUUAUUCGAUCCACCAUUCUCUUCAAGUGCUGCAAGAGACAAUCGUUGUUAAUACCAUGAUAUAGAAAAAAUACUCACAAUGCCCUUGACAUUUUCAUCCUUCCCAUCUACACGCUGAACUCGUAAAAUAUGGUAGCAGAAAUCUAAAGCUUCAAAUCUUCUUUGUUGACCCAGAAGGACUAUCAUAGCACAUCCAGCCCAGUGUAAACCUUCCCCGAAGAGUUCUCUGCGCAAUUAAUCAUUUAUCAAUUUGGAUAAUUGAGCUUUUCAGCUGAUACCUACUCCACUGUAAAUUCUGUUUCUCCAACUGGAAUGCAGUACACAAACUGUAAGGCACUCCAGAGUCUAUGGAAUUCAGUACAUUCGUCUACAUUCAUCACUCCGUUUGCUGGUGGAGGUCCUACCCAAAUAGGAUCAUCCAGAAAGCUGCGUAGUCGACUAAGUACCACUUC